CCCAAUCAAGGAAGUGUGUUUCCUUAUCAAUGUUGUCUGAAUUAUCAAAACAAUGAAGUGCGUCUCCUUACUAAAGCUGCUUGAAUUACCAAAACAAGGAAGUGCGUCUCCUAGAGAUCUUGAAUUAUGAGUUUUACCAUGGUUUUGAUUACCAAACCUGUGCAGCAACCUUGCCUCUUGCAUUUGUUGAGGUGAGAAAUUACGACCUUUGAUGUUUAGGCUCUGAAAUCCUUGAUCUGAAUGCAACAUGUAUUCCUAUU
rnacentral:lncRNA from 1 species